CAUACUCGCAAGAGCCGCAGCACGAUACAUUACGUGCCAAGUGUGAGCAGGCAAAGCUGCAACUCAACUCGAGCGCAUGCAAGCAGGAAACACCCUAUUGAUGGUGGCAUAUUGGCUACCAUGCGUCGUCGAAUCUUACGCCGUGCUCCAUAACUCCAGCGGUGUUAUUGAUCCAACUGCUUGAAAUUUGCUUUCUUCGGAUGGAAGUUUUUCGUUUCUGGAAUGGCCGAAAUAGCGUCUGCCAACAAAAAAGGAUUUCAAGACUUGGAGCAGCAGUUAGACCUUGCCGAGGUGCGGUGCGGCACUCUCAGAGGCCAGCUGGCGCACAUGAAGACGCUGUACUCCACGGGCAGUGACGCAUUCCAGCCUAGGGUGAGUGUUUGACGGCCGGGAGGGAAGGGGACGCUAUACGGCCCUACAGGUUGCCUUGUCGCAGCGACCCUUCUGGGACUCGGGGGAGGCCAAGGAGCCGCGCGCGGCCAGCGACCAGGAUAAUGCCCACGUCGGCCAC